GCGGAUGUAGCCAAGUGGAU
rnacentral:tRNA from 5 species